AGUCGAACGCUUCUUUUUCCACCGGAGCUUGCUCCACCGGAAAAAGAGGAGUGGCGAACGGGUGAGUAACACGUGGGUAACCUGCCCAUCAGAAGGGGAUAACACUUGGAAACAGGUGCUAAUACCGUAUAACAAUCGAAACCGCAUGGUUUUGAUUUGAAAGGCGCUUUCGGGUGUCGCUGAUGGAUGGACCCGCGGUGCAUUAGCUAGUUGGUGAGGUAACGGCUCACCAAGGCCACGAUGCAUAGCCGACCUGAGAGGGUGAUCGGCCACAUUGGGACUGAGACACGGCCCAAACUCCUACGGGAGGCAGCAGUAGGGAAUCUUCGGCAAUGGACGAAAGUCUGACCGAGCAACGCCGCGUGAGUGAAGAAGGUUUUCGGAUCGUAAAACUCUGUUGUUAGAGAAGAACAAGGAUGAGAGUAACUGUUCAUCCCUUGACGGUAUCUAACCAGAAAGCCACGGCUAACUACGUGCCAGCAGCCGCGGUAAUACGUAGGUGGCAAGCGUUGUCCGGAUUUAUUGGGCGUAAAGCGAGCGCAGGCGGUUUCUUAAGUCUGAUGUGAAAGCCCCCGGCUCAACCGGGGAGGGUCAUUGGAAACUGGGAGACUUGAGUGCAGAAGAGGAGAGUGGAAUUCCAUGUGUAGCGGUGAAAUGCGUAGAUAUAUGGAGGAACACCAGUGGCGAAGGCGGCUCUCUGGUCUGUAACUGACGCUGAGGCUCGAAAGCGUGGGGAGCAAACAGGAUUAGAUACCCUGGUAGUCCACGCCGUAAACGAUGAGUGCUA
rnacentral:rRNA from 1 species